CUCUAAGGACCCCAAAUAGUGAAGGAAAAAACUAACAGAGAAUUAAUUAAGAAAAUGUGUCACUUACUGUGAUUCCUACCACCUCCCUCACUGUGCAGUUUAGGAAUAAGAAAUUCCAGCAGGUUUCAAAGAGAAAAACUAUUUGGAUGUUCCUGAAGUUCUAAACCCCACACAUUUCUCCAACAUCAAGAAAAAUCAGAUGCCUGAUUCUGCACAGACCAGAGCUCUAACAUCCACCCAGGGUGAGGCACUAGUGACAACGGGGUCGGGGGUGUGAAAUCUUCAAUAAUCUGCCGCCUACCAAGAUGGAACGUGAUGGAAUAUCCUCUCUGACCAAGUUUCCAACAACGCAAGAGCACAAGUC